UAAACUAGGAUUAGAUACCCUAUUAUUAUUAGUUUAGAACAUGAUUGGGGACUACGAGCAAUAGCUUAAAAACCCAAGAAUUUGGCGGUGUCUUAUUCAAUCAGGGGAAUCUGUCUCGUAAUCGACAACCCACGAAUAUGUUAUCUACUUUUAAAAUUUAGUUUGUGUACUGCCGACUAAAUAGGCCCUUAAAGUAACCUAUAAUAAAUUUAUAUAAAUUAUAUGUCAGGUCAAAGUGCAGCUUAUAUGUAGAAGAAGAUGGAUUACAGUCUGUAAAACAGACAAAAGUAUAUAGUAGAAGUAUAUUUAAGAAGAACUUGAUAGUAAUGCUAUUUACAAAAUAUCAUGAAUCUGAACUUAAGACAAGCACACAUCGCCCGUCGCUCUU
rnacentral:rRNA from 1 species